rnacentral:tRNA from 1 species
UAAGAUAAUAAAUAGUGGAAUGUAGCUUCACUAGUAAGGGUUAAAUUCCCUUUCUUAC